GUGAUUAUAGUCUAACAAAAACAUUAGAUUGUGGUUCUAAAAACAAAAAGUUAAAAUCUUUUUAACCACC
rnacentral:tRNA from 1 species